GAGAUUAAAGAUUUAUCGGUGAUGGAUGGGGAUGCGUCUGAUUAGCUUGUUGGCGGGGUAACGGCCCACCAAGGCGACGAUCAGUAGGGGUUCUGAGAGGAAGGUCCCCCACAUUGGAACUGAGACACGGUCCAAACUCCUACGGGAGGCAGCAGUGAGGAAUAUUGGUCAAUGGACGAGAGUCUGAACCAGCCAAGUAGCGUGCAGGAUGACGGCCCUAUGGGUUGUAAACUGCUUUUAUAAGGGAAUAAAGUGAGUCUCGUGAGACUUUUUGCAUGUACCUUAUGAAUAAGGACCGGCUAAUUCCGUGCCAGCAGCCGCGGUAAUACGGAAGGUCCGGGCGUUAUCCGGAUUUAUUGGGUUUAAAGGGAGCGUAGGCCGGAGAUUAAGCGUGUUGUGAAAUGUAGACGCUCAACGUCUGCACUGCAGCGCGAACUGGUUUCCUUGAGUACGCACAAAGUGGGCGGAAUUCGUGGUGUAGCGGUGAAAUGCUUAGAUAUCACGAAGAACUCCGAUUGCGAAGGCAGCUCACUGGAGCGCAACUGACGCUGAAGCUCGAAAGUGCGGGUAUCGAACAGGAUUAGAUACCCUGG
rnacentral:rRNA from 1 species